AUUGAACGCUGGCGGCAGGCCUAACACAUGCAAGUCGGACGGUAGCACAGAGGAGCUUGCUCCUCGGGUGACGAGUGGCGGACGGGUGAGUAAUGUCUGGGGAUCUGCCCGAUAGAGGGGGAUAACCACUGGAAACGGUGGCUAAUACCGCAUAACGUCGCAAGACCAAAGAGGGGGACCUUCCGGCCUCUCACUAUCGGAUGAACCCAAAUGGGAUUAGCUAGUAGGCGGGGUAACGGCCCACCUAGGCGACGAUCCCUAGCGGGUCUGAGAGGACGACCAGCCACACUGGAACUGAGACACGGUCCAGACUCCUACGGGAGGCAGCAGUGGGGAAUAUUGCACAAUGGGCGCAAGCCUGAUGCAGCCAUGCCGCGUGUAUGAAGAAGGCCUUCGGGUUGUAAAGUACUUUCAGCGGGGAGGAAGGCGAUAAGGUUAAUAACCUUGUCGAUUGACGUUACCCGCAGAAGAAGCACCGGCUAACUCCGUGCCAGCAGCCGCGGUAA
rnacentral:rRNA from 1 species